AAACUGAGUCUUUCAGGCUGUUAUCUGUGAUUGAUGGCAUGUUUUUUAGGUUUUUGUUAAAAUGACUUGCAGAUAAACACUUGAGCAAAUCAGGGGCAUUACUUAUUGUAAGAUGGUGGAGCAUCAAAACAGAAGGAGUUAAGAGAUGAACAUACGGCACAGUCCGAUUUAAGUAGUUUCAGGGAGGAGAAUUCCAGUUUAAAACAAAUUUGAUAGCAUGUAGGUUUACAAAUGGCGUAUGUGAUGUGUUCAUAAUGACUUUUACUUUUCUCAUUUAGUUAUCGAUGCCAACCAAACAGACACAUCUCAAGCAGUAAUUAAAAAUGCAAAUGGAAAGGCCAAAGAUCCCAGAAGAAAAGCAAAAGUGAUGAAACAAUCAAUUUCUUUGGAAAAUGCAAGAAGGGUUCAGAAACGACAGUGGUCUCCCAAGGAGGUUGAAGCUAUGAUGAGACAUUUUGAAGAACAUAUCAG